rnacentral:rRNA from 1 species
GCAUAUCAAUAAGCGGAGGAAAAGAAAAUAACAAUGAUUCCCUCAGUAACGGCGAGCGAAGAGGGAUAAGCUCAAAUUUUAAAUCUGUUGGGUUCCACUUAACAGAGUUGUAUUUUGAAGAAACGUUUUCUGCAUCCAGGAUUAGCCUAAAUCCUUGGGAUAAGGUAUCAUGGAGGGUGAGAAUCCCGUUCAUGGUUAAUCUUAAGGGAGCUCUACGAUACGUUUUCCAAGAGUCGAGUUGUUUGGGAUUACAGCUCAAAAUGGGAGGUAAAUUUCUCCUAAGGCUAAAUAUUGGCGAGAGACCGAUAGCGAACAAGUACCGUGAGGGAAAGAUGAAAAGAACUUUGAAAAGAGAGUUAAACAGUACGUGAAAUUGUUGAAAGGGAAACGAUUGAAGUCAGUCAUACCAACGGGAAAUCAACCUUUUGAGCUCGGUCUCGUGGGUUUUGAAGAGUUUCAAAGCCUUCGGAUUCGCGAGAUUGGGAUCUCUCGGUGUACUUUCUCGUACGGUUAGUCAACAUCGGUUUUGAAUGUCAUAAAAUGACUGGAGGAAUGUAGCUUCGAUCUCGUAUUGAAGUGUUAUAGCCUUUGGUAGAUGUGAUGUUUGAGACCGAGGAUUGCAACGGAUACCCUUCAGGGCUAUUCGUCUGAUCUCUGAUACGUUGCCUUGAUGUUGAAAGCUUGCUUAUGAUGUUAGGGUAUUACGGUCAAAAGGUUAGAACGAAUUACAUUCGUUAAGGAUGUUGACGUA